CGCAGACUUCCUUUUAUCAUUUCACUGUGACUUCCACAUUUCUUCAUAUUAAAAGUCAAGAACAUUGUUUAGGUGACACUCUAGACAUGAACUCUCCUCCAGGCUUAGUGACUGUGGUUCUCUUAGUGCUUGGACGAACCCGUGGAGACUCAGUGUCCCAGAUGGGAGGCCAAAUGACUCUGUCAGAAGGGGCAUCCCUGAAUGUAAGCUGUACUUAUUCUGCGACAGGGUACCCCAUUCUUUUCUGGUAUGUUCAAUAUCCCGGAGAAGGUCCUCAGCUCCUCCUGAAAGCCCAAAAGGCCAAUGAGAAGGGAAGAAAGAAAGGUUUUGAAGCCACAUACCACCGAGAAGCAAAUUCCUUCCACUUGGAGAAAGCUUCAGUGCAAGAGUCAGAGUCGGCCAUGUACUACUGUGCUCUGAGUGACACAGUGACAGAAACUGCAGGGGGAGCUGAGCACAAACUCUGAGCAGAACAAGGGGCCUGGCAGCUGAGGGUCUCUGACUGUUUGACUCACUGUGGUGGAUUUUAUUAUUUAAGAUCAAAUACACAAUACCUUUCGUAAAAAUUUC